GAUGAGUAGGGCGGGACACGUGGUAUCCUGUCUGAAUAUGGGGGGACCAUCCUCCAAGGCUAAAUACUCCUGACUGACCGAUAGUGAACCAGUACCGUGAGGGAAAGGCGAAAAGAACCCCGGCGAGGGGAGUGAAAAAGAACCUGAAACCGUGUACGUACAAGCAGUGGGAGCACAGGUUUACCUGUGUGACUGCGUACCUUUUGUAUAAUGGGUCAGCGACUUAUAUUCUGUAGCAAGGUUAACCGUAUAGGGGAGCCGAAGGGAAACCGAGUCUUAACCGGGCGUUAAGUUGCAGGGUAUAGACCCGAAACCCGGUGAUCUAGCCAUGGGCAGGUUGAAGGUUGGGUAACACUAACUGGAGGACCGAACCGACUAAUGUUGAAAAAUUAGCGGAUGACCUGUGGCUGGGGGUGAAAGGCCAAUCAAACCGGGAGAUAGCUGGUUCUCCCCGAAAGCUAUUUAGGUAGCGCCUCGUGAAUUCAUCUCCGGGGGUAGAGCACUGUUUCGGCUAGGGGGCCAUCCCGGCUUACCAACCCGAUGCAAACUGCGAAUACCGGAGAAUGUUAUCACGGGAGACACACGGCGGGUGCUAACGUCCGUCGUGAAGAGGGAAACAACCCAGACCGCCAGCUAAGGUCCCAAAGUCAUGGUUAAGUGGGAAACGAUGUGGGAAGGCCCAGACAGCCAGGAUGUUGGCUUAGAAGCAGCCAUCAUUUAAAGAAAGCGUAAUAGCUCACUGGUCGAGUCGGCCUGCGCGGAAGAUGUAACGGGGCUAAACCAUGCACCGAAGCUGCGGCAGCGAACGUAUCACUUAAAGCGAUUCAGCGGGUUACGAUUGACGGAGCGAAGCGACGUCAAAGCGUAUACAAAGUCGAGUCGGUUUAAGGAUACGUUC
rnacentral:rRNA from 1 species